rnacentral:rRNA from 1 species
CCUACGGGAGGCAGCAGUGAGGAAUAUUGGUCAAUGGGCGCUAGACUGACCCAGCCAAGUAGCGUGAAGGAUGACUGCCCUAUGGGUUGUAAGCUUCUUUUAUAUGGGAAUAAAGUGCAGUAUGUAUACUGCUUUGCAUGUACCUUAUGAAUAAGGAUCGGCUAACUCCGUGCCAGCAGCCGCGGUAAUACGGAGGAUCCGAGCGUUAUCCGGAUUUAUUGGGUUUAAAGGGAGCGUAGGCGGGUUGUUAAGUCAGUUGUGAAAGUUUGCGGCUCAACCGUAAAAUUGCAGUUGAUACUGGCAUCCUGGAGUACAGUAGAGGUAGGCGGAAUUCGUGGUGUAGCGGUGAAAUGCUUAGAUAUCACGAAGAACUUCGAUUGCGAAGGCAGCCUGCUGGACUGUAACUGACGCUGAUGCUCGAAAGUGUGGGUAUCAAACAGGAUUAGAUACCCUAGUAGUC